UACCUGGUUGAUCCUGCCAGUAGUCAUAUGCUUGUCUCAAAGAUUAAGCCAUGCAAGUCUAAGUACGAGCUCUCGUACAGUGAAACUGCGAAUGGCUCAUUAAAUCAGUUAUGGUUCAUUUGAUCGUACAGUUUACUUGGAUAACUGUGGUAAUUCUAGAGCUAAUACAUGCGAGAAGCGCCGACCUCGCGGGAGGCGUGCAUUUAUCAGACCAAAAACCGGCCGCGUCUUCGGGCGCGUUCGCCUUGGUGACUCUGGAUAACUUUGCGGAUCGCACGGUCUAGCACCGGCGACGGAUCAUUCAAGUGUCUGCCCUAUCAACUUUCGUCGGUACGGUAUUUGCCUACCGAGGUUCUUACGGGUGACGGGGAAUCAGGG
rnacentral:ncRNA from 1 species